GUUAGGUCACAACUCACAAGCACACACCAGAAACCAAUAACCACUGGAUCAUUCAUUCUCCACCAUCCUCUUUCUCUCCCUAAAGAGUAGAAGCCCCAACCAAAAACCCAUUUGCCACUCACACCCCCAUUUACGGAUAGAGCGGGGGCUUAAGUUCCUAAGGGUUGUCGUUCACGAUUUUCUUAUCUGAAAGUAAUGGCCUCCGACAUCCUAUUUGCGUCUUCUUCAUCGAUGCAAACGACGUCCUCCUUUCGCCUUCUCCAUUGAUGCGAUGACCGCCAUGUGACCAAUGGGAAAAACAGGUGAUGAAAAGGUUAUAUACAAUAGAUGGGUAUAUGACUUUGUAACAGGCUGAUACAACCGUGCACAACAGGUGUUGGAUAAAAUGCAUGAAAGAUUGUUCAUAUAUCAAUGAGGAAGGAUUGAAGGAAAAGGGUGAAGGCUUUAAGGAAAACAUGUUUAUUUUUAUUCAAAAUUUGACCGAGAAAUCGUUGAUGUUUUUCAUCUCAGUUUACAAGGGUAACAAAGGCGUUUGGAAUGAUGAAAGGUCUAUGUUAUGUUGAAAGUUCUGUUAAUUGAGAAGGGGCAAGGUCUGUGACAGGCUCUAACUAACUAGCUUAAAAGACCGAGGGACUUUGGCAACAUAACACUAUUUGCAUCUUUUUUUGCUCCAGUGAUUAAUGAAACUGGUUUGCCAAAGAAAGAUAUAUUAGGUGGUUGGGUAGACUCGAAGAAGGAAUCAAGGAAAGAUAUAAUAGGUCUUUAGUUUUCUUUAUUUUUACUCAUUUUUUUUUUCUUGAUUUUCUCUCUUUUAAGCCAUAGCAGUUUGACUUUUACUACUAAUGUCACUUUGUUUUCUUUUAUCGGUUUGUUCUUUUCAAUUUUGGAAUCAAUCUCCAACAACUUUUGUUGGAUCUCCCUUGAAUACAAUAUUAAUGUCACCUUCAAAUCUACGAAGAAGUUACACUGAAGAAGCAAUACUUGUGAAACCACCGGCAAUAGGUGAGGACAUUUUCUUUGAACUUAGAAACUGAUAAUUUUUCUAUUUGGAAAUAUAUAUGUUAAAUUGCCACCUUUUAUUUUUGUACUCUUAUUAAGGUCAAGGGUUGUUUGGUACUUUUCUUAAACUAAAUGGAUUGUUAUUCCUUUGUAAUUAUAAGUUACGCU